rnacentral:lncRNA from 1 species
UGUGCUUCAACUUCUAGCCAUUGUUCCACAACACCCCUCUCUUCCGGUGUCCUCCCCAACAGCUCAACCCCCUGAGAUCUGUAUUUGUCUGCAUAAUACCUCAUUAUAGCACGAGAUUCUGCAGAAACAGAUCAAACACAGACAAGUUACAAGGUGGUAUAGCAGUAAGAUAAGAAAAAAUAACUGAAGAAACAAAAUAUGAACAAAAAAGCAAAAGUAUAUAGGAGUUGAAAGUGUAACCAUAUAAGGUGUAGUCUCCAUCUUGGAUGACAGGAACAACUCCAAAGGGCUGCAGAUAUGAUGAAUAAAGAAAAUGAAUGAGAAGAUAAAGAAAGACGUAAUCUUGAAGAGUGAUGAGGGUGGGCAAAAAAAGAAAAUUGAACCUGUAACUUGAGAAACUCGGGAUCCUUGUGCUCUCCCUUAGUGAGAUCGACUGGGACAACCUCAAAUUCGACGUCCUUCUCAAGGAGACAUACUAGCACCCGUUUAGUGGAAGCACAGUGAGGACCGUACACCUUCACUACCAUGUUUUGAUUCUCUUCAGAAACCCUUCAACAAGACUGAAGCAGUGAUAGAGCCAAACACAAUUUCUACUUCCUGGUAACACUUCUUAUAGUGCCCCUACGCGUGAAAUCAAGCGCAUGUUUUCACACUGUAGUUGUAAAUGGAUUUGGAAUGGGUAGGAUAGAAUCAAACUCUUUUACUUAAUAUAAUAAAAGAUUUGUGUGGAAUUAGAUAGAAGUUUCGAGUGGUUGGUCCUUUGGGAAAAGAGGAAAAAGAAGAUGUGAAUAUAAAUAUUACAACUACCAAACAUGAUGGGCAAUGAUUUAGAAAGUAAAGAUGAGGGGGUGGAUAUUAUUGUGGUCGACAAAUAAUCAAUGUGCUACCUUUAAUUGUACAGAAUUCGGAUUACUGUGUAUAAAAGUAUAACAUUUAUAUUGAUGUCUAUUAAAGUUAAAUUUAUAGUAUUAUUUUUUUAUUGAAAGUUAAGAAAGAGAUAAAUAUUUUAGAACGUGUUUCCCACCAAAAAAAUAAAUAAAUAUGAAGUAGAAAUUAAAGAUGUUUAAUUAAAAGUUGAGGUAUUAUUUAUAAAUAAACAAUGAAAUAAAAAAUUAAAUAGUUUAAUAAUUAUUGACAUAUUUUAUUUUUAUUGCAAUACAAACAUUUUAAUUAUGUUAAUUUCAUUUGAGUUCUAUUAAUAUUUAACACAAUUAAACAAGUAUUUCGUCUUUAAUAAGUUGUCACGUGUGUUUGUGUUUAUUGGAGAAGAAAAAUAAUAACUUUAACCUGUAAUUAACUUUAACCUAUAUUUUCUAUUUUAUACAUUAAAAAUUCUUUGUGAUUCUUUUAAAAUUUUUGAAUAAACAUACGUGAUAGUUACAAAUACAAAAGUAUUUAAUUGUAUUAAAUAAUAGAAUCCAACAAAAUGUAAGUUUUUUUUAUUAAAAUAAAAAACUUAUUGUAUUGAAAUAACUAUUUAUCCAAAUAAAAAUAAUAUUGUCUUUUGAAAUAAGUGACUCCCAACCAAAAAAUCCAACUUGUUUUAUUUAUUAAGAAUUAUUGUUUUCUCAUGAUUCAAGUAAAGCAUUAGUUAAAAUUUAGAAAAUAUUUCUUAAAAUGGUCUAGCAAUAAAAUUGAAUAAAAAAAAAGUGUCAUUUUCGCUUCUUAAGAACAUAAGAUGGCAAAUAAUUGGAAGUUCUAACAAUUAUAUCCCAUAUUUCAUAAUUCAAGUAAAGCCUUAGUAAAAAUUUGGAAAAUAUUAAAAAUGUCUAAGAUUGAAAAUAAAAUAAAUAAAUAAAAAAGUGCUCUUUUCGCUUCCUUGGAAAGUUGUAAGAAUUAUAUCCUCAUAUUUUUUCCUUUUUUCUUCUAAGGACCAACUCAUCAACACCUACUUAUUAUUAUUAUUGUUAUCUAGUCAAAAUAACCAUCAAUUAUGAUAAAAGUACUCAUAACACUAAGACCUACUAAACCUCGCGACUGGUCGAAUUGAUAUUUUCAAUUAAUUAACCUAUUUUUAAAUUAAAUAUUUAAAUAAAAAUAUUUUAAUAGAUUAAUUUUCUAUAUUAUAUUAUUCGAAAGAUGUAGAUAUGAAAUAGUAUUGUAACUUAAAUCAAUAAUAAUUGCAAAUUAAGUUUCAGUUAAUUAUAAAAAUAAUUUAAUACAUAAAUGCAAUGGUUAAACUAUAAGAAAAGUUGUUUUUGGAAACUAAAUUUUUGAGUUUCUAAAAUGAUAAAAUUAGUCAAUAACUUAAUUAGAAACUAAUUUAAAAUCUAAUUGUAGUAAGUGGCUAAAAUCAUCUUCGUUAAUUUUAUAUACCAAUUUAGAUUCUAAUUUAGAAACCAAUUUAGUUAUCAAUAAAAACCAACUUAGUGACCAAAUAUAUAGAAACUAAUUUAGUAAUCAAUUAUAUAGAAAUCAAAUUAACAACCAAUUUUAUUGAAACCAAUUUAGUGACCAAAAUAUAUAGAAACUCAUUUAGUGACCAAAUAUAUAAAUAUAAAAAAAUGGUCACUAUAAUGGUCUCCAAAUAAUAUAAUUUUUUGUAAAAAAAAAAAAUUUAUCAAAUGGAAAAAUCAAUUCAUUUGAAAUAUUUUAAGAUAUUCUCUUGUGUCUAAAACUAGUUUCAAUAUAAGUAUGCACAUGAAGGAAAUUAAAUCAUUAGAAGGAACAAUCCAAUUUAGCUUAAUCUUUCUUUGUCGAGCCUUAUUUAAAUUAUUUUUCAUUAUUAUAGCAUCUCGCAUUUCAAAAUUAUUUCUUGCCCACUUAUGAUCUGGUGCACAAAUCGAAAACUUCUUCUGCAUUAAUAAAAAAACAAAGUUAAUUAUAUGUAAAACUAACAUACAUAAUAAAAUUGAACUAAAUAAUUAAAUAAAGUUAGUUAUAUGAAAUCAACCAAAAACUCUCCGAACUACAAGUCUCUUGUUCUAAACACCAAAUAAGAUGCAUCUUUUAAAAAAGCAAACAAAAACCAAAUAGUUUUUUAUGACUAGUCGCUCGGAAGAGAAAAAUUAAUCAAGAAAUAUUGACCUUAUAAUUAUGGAUUGAUUCACUUCAUCUGCAAACAAAGCAAUAGACAGAUUAAAAAGUUAUAGUACAAAACGAAUGGAAACAGCUUAACCUUUUAAAACUUAAUUUCUAUAAAAAAUAAGGAAAAAGUUGUCUCGUAUCAUUUCUCGAAUGGCUGUCAGUAAUUGCAUAUAAAUGAGGGCUUUCACUUGCCUUACACUUGUAGGCUUCAAUAUAGUCAUUUUAUCAUACUAGAGAGUUUACUAUCAUUCGUGGGACUCCAUUAAACUUGACUUUCGACUCGUAAACUCGUAAGAGUCUACUUCAUAAAAAAAAUUUAACAAAAAAAUAAUUCAUGAAAACAAAUCCAUAAUAUUGAAAUAAACAAGUUCAUACACUAAUAAAAUAACUAAAACAACACAAAUGUUAUAAUUUAAAAGUCUCAUUCUUCUAAUUCUUCAAGAAAAUCAUCUAACUCUAAAACAAACAAUCAAUUAGUCAUUCUGCUUUAAAAUUAAACAAAAAUCCAAUAUGUCCAAAGCAGUAAAAGAACUUCAGGAUGUCCAAAAAUCUGCCCCAACCCAAUGAACAAAAACGCCCCAACCCAUUUUUAAAAGUUCAAACCUAAUUUUGAAAACCCUAACCCAAUCCGUCCUCACCGCAGCAGCAGGACUUACCCAUCAAAGUGUUUCGCGAACGGCGUAGUGUGACGAGGAUCAUUGUGAAACGAGGUGUGACAACCAGCGGCGCGAUGCGACGAGCGGUGCGGUACGAGGAGCAGUGUGGGGUUGUGCGAGGCGAGGAGCGACGCGGUACGAGGCAAGGAGCGGCGCGGUACGAGGCGAGGAGCGGUGCGGUGUGAUGAGCGGUAAAACCCUAAAAAAUCUAACCUAAUCACAAGGAAACACAUCGUUUUGAGUCCAUUUUACGCAACUCGAUAACUCGACCUUAAACUCACGAGUUUAGCCGAGUUUGACCGAGUCAACUUCGGAUUCGGGUUUACUCAAAAACGAGUUUACUCCCGAGUUGACUCGCCAACCUUCACCUGACUCUUAAACUCAAACUCGUAAGGGUUUACGAGUUAACCUUAGAGUUUGAUAAUUUGAUUAUUACCAUACAAAGUAACUUUCUUAAAAGGGAUUUAUGGCAACCAAAACAGGCCCAGCUUUCAUCUGAAUUAAAUAGUUAUGCACUUAAAGAGGUUAUGAUUAGGAAAAUAAAUCAAGAUAGAAAAUUAAGAGAUAUAAGCUUACAUAGAUCAUAUCUUGGUUGUAUCUAUAUUGCAGGUUGAAUAAAACUGCUGAUUCAUUUAAAUAACUAAAUAGAAGGUACCAUGAUAAACUGAUUUCAAAACACAGCAGCAGAGAAAAAUUGAAAUCCAAGGCCAAAAUUAUCUUUUUUGAACCAUAAGAAUUUGUAUCAUUCCACCUGUUUUCCCUAGAGGAUGUCAAAAUUGAUGGCAGGGGCAACGUAACGGAUACCAAGUCUUCAUCUGCAUUAGAUGGUCGGUCUUUUAAUGAUCAACCAAUUUAUUUUAAAUUCUAAGUGUACUUUCUUUUUGGUUUGAGGUUUAAACUAAAAAAAUAAAAACUUUGAAAUGUACUGAUGAAAAAUGCCACAAUAUUUACAAUACAAUAAUAUGAAACUAAUCUAAUCAUUUUAAUAUUAUCACUAAUUUAUAAAAGUAAAAAUUUAUGUUGGACUCCCACAACUUUUGUAACAUGGAUCAAGCAUCAUGAACCAGGUGCACACGAAAUAACUCAGUUCUAGAAGGAUUAUAAAGCCCUUAACCAAGAGAGGCUAGAAAGAUUAAAAAGAUACACCUCAUUGAGGAAAGAAGUGUUCACAACAAAGAGGAAAAAAAAGCAAUUUGUCAAAUACUUUAACAACCCAAGAUUAAUUUUCAGAGUAAACAAAAUUUUGGUUUAACUACAAUAUUAGUGUCAUUAACAAAGUGCACAAGAAAUUACAUACCUCACUGAGUACUAACACUACAAAGAGAAGAAAGCACAGUAAAUAAAAUUAUAAAGUUAGCCCUUCCACUCUACAGGUUCCAUGCAUUUGGUUUUGCAGAGGCAAGCAGAGGUAUUGAUCCCAAUCCCACAUAUUUGGAUUCUAGUUUCUACUAAUUAAAGCAUGCCUUGUCUGACAAAAAGUCUUUCCAAAGUUCCAAAAGCAUUUGUCUCAAUAAAGGGAAAACAACUAAACUAGUUGUAGGUGCGUACUAAACCUUUUGAUGCUCCAAAUACCAUUAUAUUAUACUACACAAAUCACAAUAUCUCCAAGUUCUAAAUAAAUAAAUAAAAACCACAUUAACAAUACCAUUGAAAUGUAAUCAGAUACACAAAAAUCUACACAAUUAGGUAGUUAGCACGAUGUCAAAGUUUCAAUAAACUUUGAAUUUUUGUUUGAGCUUGCAAGCCUAAGGCCUAACUAAACCAACAACACUGACCAUAUACCGUGCAUAAAGAUAUUCACAAGUUAAUGAAACUUGAUCAAACUAGACAAAUAAAACGAAGACCUCAAAUUAAUAUCCCCAUAUUAAUUAUGCAGUUGCUUAUUAUUUUACUAGAAUUACCUUCAAAACUAACAGCCACACAACUUACAACAGAGUACCUUUUAUGUGUAAUAAUCUAGGAUUUUAAGAUGGGAAGAUACAUUGAGUAAAGUUGUGAAGUUUCGAUGAGCAAACACAAAAAUAAAAGACAAAGAGCGAGAAUGAAACACGAAUUGAAACUUACUAUGAUAAGCUUAAAGAGGUUAGUCUCAUUCGAAACAGAGAAACGUCAUUGUUGCGGGUGCGUUACCGUCUCAAGGUGCGUUGUCGUUGUAGGGUGUGGUUUCCGGUUGUUGAGUGCUAAGAGUGAGAGAUGAGAAAAAAAGUUAAAGAAAACAGAUAAACUUUGAAAUUCAAAACCUUACAUACCAAUUGGUUAAAUUUAAAAAAAUUAAAUAAUUUUUUGAAAAAUAUGCAUCUUUAUUUAAAUUUAUUUAUUAAAAUUUUAAUUUAAAUAAUAUUUUGAAUUAAUCAUUAAUUUAAUUUUAUAUUUAAAUAAAAUUAAAAGAUUAAAAUACUAUUUUAAAUGUAAUUUUUAAAUUUAUAUUAAUUAUUUUAAUAUUAUACUAAAAUUAUUAAAUUAUUAAAUUUAUUCAUAUCAAUUUAAAAUAUUUUAUAAAUUAAUAAUUAAUUUUAUAAAAUUUAAUUACUUCAAAAUUAAUAUUUAAAUUCAAAUAAUAGUGACUAGAAAUUUAAGUAUCUCAUUAUAAUUAUAUAAUGAUUAGAAACUACAAAAUUAGUUUUAAAUUUUAUUAUUUUUAGUGACUAAAAUUAGUUUUUAAAAUAGAUUAAAAUUAAUUAAAAUAGUUUCCAAUUAUAUCUUAACAAGAUUCUCUCUCUCUCUAUCUCUCUAUCUCUAUCUCUCUCUCUCUAAUAAAUUGAAACAUAGAUGAAUAGAAUCUUACACGGACUACUUCUUAUGCGGGACAGGAUGGUCAAAUGAACUUGCAUUUCUUAUAUAGGUUGGACCAACCUGACCUGCGUUUUGCGAGUCAAACAUGGGAGGGACCAACCGACAUUGCCACCUAAUUUGACAUGAAAUAUUUGUUUUGCCCUUAAUGAUUUAAAAGACUUUGUCUUCUGGAUUUUCAUAUACGUAAGUUAAAUUACAAAGUUCUGGAUAUGCAAGUUCGAAACUAAUAUGUCACUUUCGGAUUUAGUCAUCCAGAAGCUUACCUGACCAACAUAAAUGACCUUCUGGAUGCCAUGAUCCAUAAGCAAACAUAAAUGAACUCGAGAUUCUAAUAUUUAACAUCAUUUAUAGCACACCAUUUCGAACAUAAAAAUCUGAAACUCAUAACUCACUUCCGGAUAUGAUCAUCCAAAAACUUAAAUGAAAUAUAAAAAUGAUCUUCUGAAUAUCGAAGUCCGGAGUAUAUAACAACCACAUUCAAAUUUUUGCAUCUAUAACUAAAUAUGAAGCCUUCCGAAUAUCACGAUUCGGUAACAACUUAACCCCAUUAUCAACUAAAACACAAAACGUAAAUAAUUUUCCUUACCUCAUAAAAGAUUUACACCACACCACGCUUAAAAGUAAUGACUUCAUUCCACCACCACACCAACCCAAUUCACCACCACUCAAAACGGUUCAGCAUUUAAAUCACAAAGCUUCACUUUUUUCUGUGAUGAACUAUGAUGGGAGCAACAGCAUUAAAACUGCAGAAGCAAUGCAUAGCUAUUUAAAGUCUGAAACCCCUACUUUCCAAUUUAUUUCAGUUCUUACUCUUUUAAAAUUUCUCUAAUCAAAUUUCAAAUAGUGCUUUUACCAUGCUCUUUGAAAUAUACAAAUAGUUUAUACAAUUAUACUAUUCAUUCCACUGGCUGCCUCAGAAAAGAAAUUGCACUGCUACAUAAAUAAUUACUUUAUGCCACUCAUUCCUAAAGCUAACUAUGACAGACAAAAUAUGCAAAAAGGAGUUACUUUCAUCUAUCAAAGUUGUGUGCUAUUAUUUUAUUUGACUAUUGAAAAUCUCACCUGUGAUGGUCUCUUUCUCACCCUCUAAUCUAUCAAAAAUCCAUUUAAUGGAGCCUAAUUUAGAAGAUUAAGUGCUUAUGUAGCCUAUUAAAUGCCUCUUAAGCAUCCACACGGCAAAGCUACCUAAGCAGUAAAGCACAUUAGCAGAAAGGCUACUUUAGUGACGUACAGAUUUUUGAAGGACUUGGGUAAUGAUAGUAAGUAUUUUUAGGAUUGAAGCAAAGUCAAAUUAAUAUUUUUUAGGUACCAAAGUGAUAACAUGUGGGUUUUGGCUUGAAUGUUUAUGGGCAAAAGUGAUUCAUUGUGGUACAUGGUGAUGAAAGUGAUGGCUAUGGCUUGGACCCGACCCGCUCUAGUCAAGUUCCAUUUUUUUUCAGUCAAGUCCGUUAGUAGAACCAGUGUAAAGCACUAUGUUCAAUUUAUUGGAACCCAUCAAAUAUAAAUUCUUGUGUGAUUGCCAUGCUCAGAGACCUUCAAACAACAUUACAGAAGAAACAAGAAAAACUAGCAAGCCUAGACAAAAGGAUUGAGGUUAAAAUUAAUGCAAGCAAUCAAAUACCUUCGUUCACAUCUCCGUUCGCCUUUGCUCGCACCUUCGUUCUCCUUCGCUCGCACCUCCGUUCGCCUCCGCUCACACCUCUGUUCGCCUUUGUUCGUACUUCCGUUCGCACCACGACCACCACCCACAACUUCCUCCUCCUCCUCCGACCACCGCCUGCAGCUUCCUCUGCACCUUUGUUCACACCACGUCCAUUUUUGGGUAUUUGGUGUCCUAAAAGCACCUACAACUUCCAAAUAACUCUGAAGCUUACAAAAAAUCAAAUUCCAAGUUUUAUCUAAUUGUCACAUUCUUUUUUUACUGAAGUCACCUCUUUAUAAAUAAUAUUAAAAAAUAUAGUAUUUAUGUAAAAUUAAGAAAUAAAUAUUAAAGGAGUAUUUAAAUAUCAAUGAUAAUAAAUAUAAAUAUUUUAAUUAAUUAAUAAUUUUCAUACUAAUACAUUUUAUAAUUUCUAACUAGCAGAUACUUACCUCUAUUAAUAAUUUUUAAUUGAAAAAAAUAGAAACAAGUAAUAAAACUGUUAUAAUAAAAAAAUUAAUAAUUAAAAAAUUAUUUACAAUUUAAUUCUGAAAAUUUAUUUAUUUUUAUAAAAUUAAAGUUGUUUUAAAAAGAUCAUUUUAUUUAAAUUUAAUUAUUUAGCAUAAUUUAUUUUUUUUAAAGGAUUAAUUUUAUUAACAAUAAUUAUUUUUUUUAUGUAAUUUUAUUUAAAAAAAUUAUUUGAGGUGAUAUUUUAAAAAAAUAUUUAAUAAAUUUUAUCUAAAUUUAAUAAAUUACAAAUAUAUUUGACACAUAUUUUUUAAAUAAAAAAAAUCAGUAAUACAAUUAAUUAUUUUUUAAAUGGAUGAGUACUCAUUAAUAUUCAAAGUGCUUGUAUAGUUUUUUAAAAUAAAAAUAAAUUAUUAUUAUCAUUAAUAGUAGUUGUAAAAUAAACAAGAUUUAGCGACUAAAAAAUUUCGAUGGCUAAAAAAUAAACGUGUUUAGUGGCUGAUUCAGUGAUAAAAAUAAAUAAUUAUAUCUAGUGACCGAAACAAAAUCGGUAGCUAAAACAUAAACAAAUUUGAUGGCUGGUUCGGUAGUAAAAAUAAACAUUUAUAUUCAGCGACCAAAAGAAAAUCGGUAGCUAAAAAGUAAAUAUAUUCAGUGCCUAAUUUGGUGGCAGAAAAAAAAUAAUAAAAUUUAGUGACCAAAAUAAAAUUGGUGGCUAAAAAAUAAACAUAUUCGGUCGCUAAUUCGGUUGCAAAUAUAUUUUUUCCAAUUUAUUCGAAACAAUCACCACUUUAACGACCAACGGUUUUGUCACUUUCAUGUUCGGUCACGGAUUCAUUCGCAAAACUAACUAACAUGAUUUUUCAUGUUCGGUCGCGAAUUCAUUCGCAAAACUAACUAACAUUAUUUUUUAUGUUCGGUCGCGAAUUCAUUCGCAAAACUAAACUAACUAGCAUGAUUAAUAAUUCAGUUAGUCGCCAUUUCGAAUUCGUUCGCAAAACUAACUAACAUGAUUAAUCAGUCGCUAUUUCGAUCACAAAUUUGUAAGUUAUUUCGAUCGCAAAUUCGACACUAUAUUGUUCGCUAAAUUCAGUAACUACAGUAUAAAAAAAACACUCUUCUCCAAAAAAUAAUUCAAAACAAAGAAGAUAGGACAAUGUCAAGAAUUCUCCAAAAAAUAAUUCAACACAAAGAAGAUAGGACAAUGUCAAGAAGAUAGGACAAUGUUGGACAAUAUCUUAAAUGAUAUGAUGAAGGGAGAAACACCCCUAAUUUUUUAGUAUCAGAUUUAGCGUUUUACUAUUGUUAUUAAGUUUUAUGCAAAAAAAAAUUUAAUCAAAAUAACAUAACUAAAUCUUUCAUAAAUAUUUUACCAUUUAAAAAAAAAAACAAUUUUUUGAAACUGAUGAAGUCAUACAUACUAAAUACAAUUUUAAUACAAUCUGAUAGUACAAAUAUAAUUCUGAAGUUGUAAUGAUUUCAAUACGAUAUAAUAUCACUAUCACUGAAGUUAUAAUGUCAAAAUACAAAUUCAAUUAUAGAAAUCUUUUUAAAAAAAUUGUUUUUAUAUUAUACGAAUUUAAUUAUUUCCUAAUUAAAAUCACAUUUUACAACUAUAAUUUCUUUAGAAAUUAUUAUCUACAUAAAACUCGUAUUUGACACAUACGAGGAUUUAUCCAAUUUUAAAACAAGAAACUAAUCUGUCCAUUUAGAAAAAUUUGGACUAAAAUUACACUAAUUUUUGGAGAAAGAAACCGACUAAGUAUUAUAAAUAAAACUGCCACAUAAAAACAUGACUUAUAGCAUUUUAGGACACCAAUUUAAAGUCUCCAACUGAACAUUAAGUUUCAAACUAUUACACUUUUAUUUAAGUUUAGAAAACAUUUGUUGUCUAAAGACUUUUGGGUUUAUAUUGCAACAUCACUCAUAAUUGGAUAAAAGUACAUUUAUUCUUGAGAAGCAGAAGCAGGUGCAGUGCAGAGAUGGAUGAUACUAAAUGCAUCAUCCAUGAACUUCAUUCUGGAACUAAACUGGAGGUGGGUAGAGUUCAAUAACCUUCUUCCAUGAUGGUCUACUGCUUAUGUCAUCCCACCAACCACUCACAUGCUUCCUCUCUUUUAUCAGAUACCCUUUAUUCAUUUGGUUCACUAUAAAAUAUGUAAAUGGAAGAUGACUUAUAUCAGCAAGACUGAAGAAAUCCCCACCCAAAUACUUGCUCUUUGACAGCCUCUCCUCAUAAACAUCCAACACCUUCAACAGCUUUGCUUCACUCUCCUCAAUCACCUUUGGAUCUGGAGUCAUGCCAAAUAUUGGAGCAAACAACAGAUGCACAGCCAAGUCAUAGGCUGGUGGGUGAAAGUUAUGUGCUUCAACUUCUAGCCAUUGUUCCACAACACCCCUCUCUUCUGCUGUCCUCCCCACCAGCUCAACCCCCUGAGAUCUGUAUUUGUCUGCAUAAAACCUCAUUAUAGCACGAGAU